rnacentral:rRNA from 1 species
UACGUAGGGGGCAAGCGUUGUCCGGAAUCAUUGGGCGUAAAGAGCGUGUAGGCGGUCCGAUAAGUCGGUUGUGAAAGUCCAGGGCUCAACCCUGGGAUGCCGAUCGAUACUGUCGGACUAGAGUUCGGAAGAGGCGAGUGGAAUUCCCGGUGUAGCGGUGAAAUGCGCAGAUAUCGGGAGGAACACCAAUGGCGAAGGCAGCUCGCUGGGACGUUACUGACGCUGAGACGCGAAAGCGUGGGGAGCAAACAGG